rnacentral:lncRNA from 13 species
AUGAACCAGACCAAGACAAUAACACAUAAGAGAGAAACACUUCUGCUGUGUUCCACAAGCUUUGAAACAGAGGAAUUUGGAAGAUGGGAAGCAGAGGAGAAAUCUCAGACCUUAACCGUCCCACUGUGUGGCCCUGAUGGGAAAGGUCCAGGGCUGCAGAGCCACAUUAAGCACCUGCGAUCGGCUGGGUCUCCACAGAAGACAAAACUACCUUUUCUCCAGUAUGGGCAUCCAGCUCUGACGGCCAGUGAGCUGACAUCUGCCACCUUGACUGGCCACCUGCUCUGAGCUCCCGUGUGUCCAGCUCUAAACUGGGAGCUUUACAACAAAAUUGCAUUGUGUCUUUGUAACAUCUUGAAAGGAAAGGUAUUGUUAACUGAGAGACCCAAAGCAGGCAGACUUCAAAGCAGUUGAUCAUCCCAGACACACCCCUAUGAGAAGAGAGGAUUGAAGAUAUUCAAGAAACAUAUAUGUGGGCGAAAAGUAAAAGAUGAAAAAGUAAAAGUUGAACACUUUGAAAAGAGGAGCAGUGAGGGGUAAAAGAUGAAAGGAAAAGUCACCAACUUUAAAUGCUUGAGGUUGUCCUUGAACUCUCCCUUCCUUCUUUGCUAGUUAAUACCUGUUUCUGUUACAUCAGCACACAAAGCUACUUUUCACAAAUCUGCCAGGUACUAACUGGUAACAAGAGGUCAAACAGAAAUGUGCAUUCACGCCCUUUAAUCUGGAGUUGGCAUUUGGCAGAGUUUGUGGAGACUUAACUUUAAUUAAUUGAGUCCUUAGGAAUAGAGCUGACAGUUUCCGUUUCACAGAUUUUAGAAAGUUGAAAUAUUUUCCUCUAAGAACUUAGUUGUUCUCUAAAUCCCCCUGCCUUUGGAGGAGGCUAUCAUAAACCAGAUGACUUGAUUUCUUAGAGGGUCUCUCCUAUCAUACAACAAACACAAUGUUAUUUGUCCUUGCAGGAAAAUGUAGGUCCUAAGAGAUCAGCAAAGGGGUAUUUGGUGAUAAAACUGGAGAAAAAUGGAAAUGUUAUAAUUGAGCUGUGGUCCCUAAACCGUCCUCCUCCUCUUUCUCAAAAAACUUCCUGGUGGCUUCCCAUCUCACCCCACUAAAAUUUAAUGCAUUAUUUAGUCCUGCUGAAGAAACCUCAGCACCCACUUGAACAGUACCUGCCUGAUCUUGACCUCUCUCCAGAGGUCUGAGCCCACAGCCAUCAGCCAUCUCUUAAUCUAUAAAGUAAAUGGGCCACAUGCUGGCAGUAGAGUUUGAAGCAGGAGGCUGGGCUUUGCUU